rnacentral:rRNA from 1 species
AAAGAAACUAACGAGGAUUCCCCUAGUAACUGCGAGUGAAGCGGGAAAAGCUCAAAUUUAAAAUCUGGCGGUCUUUGGCCGUCCGAGUUGUAAUUUAGAGAAGCGUCUUCCGCGUCGGACCGUGCACAAGUCUCCUGGAAUGGAGCGUCAUAGAGGGUGAGAAUCCCGUCUUUGGCACGGAUGCCCGGUGCUCUGUGAUGCGCUCUCAAAGAGUCGAGUUGUUUGGGAAUGCAGCUCAAAAUGGGUGGUGAACUCCAUCUAAAGCUAAAUAUUGGCGAGAGACCGAUAGCGAACAAGUACCGUGAGGGAAAGAUGAAAAGCACUUUGGAAAGAGAGUGAAACAGUACGUGAAAUUGUUGAAAGGGAAACGCUUGAAGUCAGUCGCGUCGGCCGAGACUCAGCCUUGCCGCAGGCUUGGUGUACUUCUCGAUCGAUGGGCCAGCAUCAGUUUUGCUUCUCAGAUAAUGGCAAGGGAAAGGUGGCACCCUCACGGGUGUGUUAUAGUCUCCUGUCGCAUGUGAGGGGUGGGAUUGAGGAACUCAGCACGCACCUUUCAGGUGUCGGGGCUUCGGCCCACGUUACGUGCUUAGGAUGUUGGCGUAAUGGCUUUAAACGACCCGUCUUUGAA